rnacentral:rRNA from 1 species
GAUGAACGCUGGCGGCGUGCUUAACACAUGCAAGUCGAACGAGAUCCAUGGAGCUUGCUCCGGAAGAUCGAGUGGCGAACGGGUGCGUAACACGUGAGAAACCUGCCCCGGACUUCGGAAUAACAGUUGGAAACGACUGCUAAUACCGAAUACCACCAUCACCUCGCAUGAGGAGAUGAUGAAAGGUCCGCCGGUCCGGGAGGGUCUCACGGCCUAUCAGCUUGUUGGAGAGGUAACGGCUCACCAAGGCAUCGACGGGUAGCUGGUCUGAGAGGAUGAUCAGCCACACUGGAACUGAGACACGGUCCAGACUCCUACGGGAGGCAGCAGUGGGGAAUCUUGCACAAUGGGCGCAAGCCUGAUGCAGCAACGCCGCGUGCGGGAAGAAGGCCCUAGGGUUGUAAACCGCUUUCAGGAGGGAAGAAAAUGACGGUACCUCCAGAAGAAGGUGCGGCCAACUACG